rnacentral:rRNA from 1 species
AUUGAACGCUGGCGGCAGGCCUAACACAUGCAAGUCGAGCGGAUGAAGGGAGCUUGCUCCUGGAUUCAGCGGCGGACGGGUGAGUAAUGCCUAGGAAUCUGCCUGGUCGUGGGGGAUAACGUCCGGAAACGGGCGCUAAUACCGCAUACGUCCUGAGGGAGAAAGUGGGGGAUCUUCGGACCUCACGCUAUCAGAUGAGCCUAGGUCGGAUUAGCUAGUUGGUGGGGUAAAGGCCUACCAAGGCGACGAUCCGUAACUGGUCUGAGAGGAUGAUCAGUCACACUGGAACUGAGACACGGUCCAGACUCCUACGGGAGGCAGCAGUAGGGAAUAUUGGACAAUGGGCGAAAGCCUGAUCCAGCCAUGCCGCGUGUGUGAAGAAGGUCUUCGGAUUGUAAAGCACUUUAAGUUGGGAGGAAGGGCAGUAAGUUAAUACCUUGCUGUUUUGACGUUACCAACAGAAUAAGCACCGGCUAACUUCGUG